rnacentral:rRNA from 1 species
GACGAACGCUGGCGGCGUGCCUAAUACAUGCAAGUCGAACGAGAGCGCCCGGUGCUUGCACUGGUCAAUCUAGUGGCGAACGGGUGAGUAACACGUGGGUAACCUGCCCAUCAGAGGGGGAUAACAUCCGGAAACGGAUGCUAAAACCGCAUAGGUCUUCGAGCCGCAUGGCUUGAAGAGGAAAAGAGGCGCAAGCUUCUGCUGAUGGAUGGACCCGCGGUGCAUUAGCUAGUUGGUGAGGUAACGGCUCACCAAGGCCGUGAUGCAUAGCCGACCUGAGAGGGUGAUCGGCCACAUUGGGACUGAGACACGGCCCAAACUCCUACGGGAGGCAGCAGUAGGGAAUCUUCCGCAAUGGACGCAAGUCUGACGGAGCAACGCCGCGUGAGUGAAGAAGGUUUGGAUCGUAAAACUCUGUUGUUAGAGAAGAACAAGUGCUAGAGUAACUGUUAGCGCCUUGACGGUAUCUAACCAGAAAGCCACGGCUAACUACGUG